rnacentral:rRNA from 1 species
UAGGUAAGGAAGUCGCACACUGGAUCCGUAAUACUUCACAGGGACAACAGGAAUUGCUACUGCUGAAAAGGGCUGAGUGCGACCAGCGCGGUCACCUUGCAUGGCAUACGGGCGUGUGCCACUCGCGUGGAGAGCGCGUUGGAGUGAAUGCUCGCGGAGAUAAUGUGCACAGCAGCUACCUAGCACACGUUCAGACUUGAGCCUCGGCGUGAAGGGAAAGCCGAAUGUCUAAGUGCUUAACAACAUAACUAUGUGAUGGCUCUGGCUGAGGCUAGUGGACACAAAUGUGACAUUCUGGCCCAUGCUCUGAAAUGUCAAGCGCUGGGUCUAAGCAACAAUGUCAAGACAAGCGUCGGGUAAAACGCGGCGGAAGUAACUAUGACUCUCUUAGUAGCAAAAUGCCUCGUCAUCUAAUUAGUGACGCGCAUGAAUGGAUUAGACGAAGAUUCCCUCUUCCCGUACUCUAUCUAGCGAAACCACAGCCAGGGAACGGGCUUGGAAGCACAAAGCAGGGGAAAGGAGCGGACCGGAGUGUUUGAGCUUGACUCUGUUUGGCAUUUGUAAAGGCGAUAUAGAGGUGCUAGCAUAUGGUGGGAGAGGUCAGACCCUUUAUGGAGUGUUGGCUCGCAACCUGAGAUGACCACCACUUCUUACCUGUUGCCUUACUUAGCAUGAUGGUAUUCGUGGUGUUCUAUUGUAGGGUCGGUGGAACACAAGCGCGGCGCCCCACGGUGUCGGGUCGUACCGCCCACCCGCUCGCCGGGGUGUAGGUAGCGUGUCGUCUCGCCUGAAGUCGGACUGCCACAUGCGCUCGUGUUUUCUAGCUCCGCGAUUCAGCAUGUCGCGUGGGGGUGCCACCGGGUUGGCGGUGUGUCGUCGAAGCAUCGACGGCGUCGUCACCGGGCGCCGACUCAGCCGCCGUGGCCCGCAGGGUUCAAGCGUGCGCUACGUCGGUCCGUCCCGCGUGUUCUGUCGCCCGGUUCGACCGUUUGCGCCCGUCGCCUUAAAGCUUCUCCGGUUUCUGGUGCCGGGCUUGGCUCGAAAGACAUCCUAAUAAACCUCCUCGGUCACGCAUGGACCAGUGCCAGGUGGCGGAGUUUUGACUGGGGCGGUACAUCUCCAACGAUAACGGAGGUGUCCACAAAGGUCAAGCUCAGAGUGGCAGAAACCACACCGUGAGCAUCAAGGAGCAAAAGCUGGUUUUGAUCCUAACGUUCCAGGUACAGCCGCCGGGACAGCGAAAGCUUGGCCUUAUACGAUCUUUUUUUGGUAUAGACGAGUUUUUUAGCAAAGAGGUGUCAGAAAAGUUACCCAAACAUGGGAAAUAACUGGCUGUGGCCGCCAAGCGUUUCAUCAGCGACGUGGCUUUUUGGAUCGGUUUGUCUGUAUGUCGCUCUUCUCUAUCAUUGUAGAAGCAAAGUUUACCAAGCGUAGGCAUUGUUCACCCUUCAAGGGAACGUGGAGCUGGGUGGUUAGACCUGUCGUUGGAGAAACAGGUUAGUUUUACCCAAAAAAAAAAAAAAUUUGUCCUACUGGUGUGCAUUGUUUGUCGCUAUCUUAAACGGAAUUCUGUGCAGUACGAGAGGCACCACAGGUACGGACCAUGGCUCAAUACAGUAUCGAAAACGGACUAUGGUAUGAACGCUACGCCGCUGGAUUUGCCUGAACUGCCGCCUCUAAGGUCGUAUCCAAUCCGAGCUGAUAGCGCUUCUUA